AUUAAAUGGAAGAGUUUAUAUCUUACUUUGAGAUGCAUUAUAUUUGGGAAGGAGACCAGUAGAUUUAUUUUCCCAGUACUUUUGUCUGGAUAACCAUUAUGCGAAUUUGACUGGUUUUGAUCCCCUACGUUGUUGAGGAAAAGUGGUUCAGGAAUGUCAUGCUGACUGGAAGGAAUGUACGCUCUAAUUACAAUUUUACUGUGGCUGUCACUCCCCAGGGUAGAGGUAGGAGUUUGGGGGCAACAGUUCAUUAAGACUGUGCUGUGUUGGAAAUGCAACAAAAUUUAACACUUAAGAAAGAAGAAGUAAUGUACAUACUCUGAAGAGUUCUUUGGGGCACUACAGAAAAGAAUGCAUUAGUAUAAAAUACUACUUAAUGAAUAAUGUGUCCCCCUUAUGCAUUUAGGGAAGAUUUGAUCCAAUGUUUUGCAAGUUGACUUAAGCAACUAGGUUAUAAACAAAUUGCAUUAGAGAAAAAAAAUUUAAUUAGUUAUUUCUUUGUGUUGCUCAGCUAAGUGUACAGUUAAAUUACUAGAUACAGAAAUUUGAUAGCAGCGUAACUAUAAAAUAUCCAUAAGAAAAAAUGGUUCCCAGGGAAAAUCGAUGUAACCAUUUUAAAACAAUCCAUCUUCAGUACUAGGUAUAGGCCAAGUGGUCCUAAUGUCAAGAUUGCUCACUUGAAGAACAGCACACGUGGAGACUUCACACAUUAUCUCUCAAUGCUAAUUAUAUCUUUAUCAAAAUAAGAUAUGCCUAUUUCACAUACUUUCACAAAUUAUUAGAUAUUAAAUUAAGCUGGUACAUUCAUUGUUUUCUUCUCAGAGUAAUAAAAAAUUAGUUCAACUGGAGCUGGAUAAUCAUUUUAAUAAUUUAAGGAAUAAGUGUACCUGUGCUGCUGUCUCAAUACUUUCAUUUCCUCUGUAGUUGAGAAAAUUUGUGUCAUCAUAUUCUGUAAAGUUUCAUGAUUCGUAGAGCCUUCCUCCCCAAACUGUAUGCUCAUUCCCCUGACAAAUCCAGAAUUCUUUAGCACUUUCAACAUCAACACUGUAGCCAUACCAUUUGUGGUUCUGUGACAAUGCUUUUGCUAAAAUCUAUUUACCACUGAUGGAAAUGAGUUUUAAACACAGGCUUUAAUAUGAUGCUUGAUUUACUUAAGAUACCACAUUAGUAUUUGUGGUGAGCCUCACAGUGGUACCUACGGUAGCAUACCACACCUGGAGUCCCAGUGGUUUUGGUUGUAGGCACCUCUGUAACCUCCUUACUGUGCUGAGCAUGUGUUUGCUGUUAGGGACAUUUUCUGUCACCCUGAGACAAUCUAGCCAGACACUCUGAAAAAGAGAUUCCCCACCUAACACUGGUACCAACAUUUGUUUUUCCUAUAGCUUAUCAAUAAAGGGGAAGUUGAAGGUUAUGGGGCAAACAUACUCAGCUAGUUUGAAGAUGGGACUUUUUUCACCCAAGACACAUAAAUAAGAGAUGAGUUCAAGGUGUUAAAUAAAACAUUUAUGAGGUCCAAUUAAUGGCAUAAAUAGGUACUGUUGUAGGGACAAACGAGGCAAGGCACCAAAGAUAGCAAGAAACAGUUUUAUUUGGCUGCAGCCAGGUUCAGAGGGCACAGCUUUUGUGGUAAUCAAUUAAUUCUCUGAACCCGAGUUCAGGUAGUUUCAGAGUUUUAUACCCAGCAUCUAAGGGGAGGGGCUCAGAAGUUCACAGUCUGCAAAAGUUCACAUAAAAGCAGCUUUUUCUUUCACUGUUCUGGGCAAGUUAACCCUUCAAGGACAACCCCUGAGAAGGGGAGAGUUUCUUCUCCCCUUUCUUUCCUCCCCCUGCCAGCUGUUACCAUGGAGCCCAUUUGUAACUUAUCUUAAAAAUGUAGUCAUCUCUGUGAAGCCCCAGCUCAAGGCCAGAGGCCUUGUUUGCACAUUUCUUCAAAGUACUAUACUGGAUAUGUUUGUGAAAAACUAGUAAUGGGGUAUCCAGCACCUGGAGUGCUGGUAUCUUCUCGGCCAGUGGCCAAGUAAACAGGGCGACACAAAAAUAGGAAGUUUACCUACAUUGAACUCUUUGGCAGAGACGCUUUUGCUGACAGUCCUAAAAUCAGUCUGGGUGAAGAUUUCUGGAGAGGCCCAGUUAAGACUUUUCAGUGGAGAAAGGGGGUGCCACUUCAGUACAGCCUUAAUACAUUUUUGACAAAUUUAAUUUGAAAUAUAAUAGGAAAUUAUAUAAAUAUCAUACAUUAACAAGUAAACUUUAUUUGUUUAGCAAAAACCUUUCCUACCCUGUAAACUCAAUGACAGUGAUUUCAUGCUCUUUCAUGACUUUAAAUAUCUUUUAUAUGCCACCUGCUCACACAUUCAAAUUUGUAACCCAGGCUUCCUAAACUCCAAUAUUUUAUAUCCAGCUUCCACUUUAAUGCCUACUUUGCUAUUCAGACUUAAUAUGUACAAAGUCAAGCUAUUGAUUCUCCAUAUCAGUGUCUCAGACCAAAAGACUGUUUCAGAACUUUUCAUUUUUACCAUCCUACACGAAAUCCAUCAGGAAAUCUUGUUGCUUGUAGCUUCAAAAUGUAUCCACAAUCCGAAUACUUAACCCUUCACUAAUACCACUGUGGUUCAAAACAAUAGUGUGUCUAAAUUAUUGCUUUCUAACUGGAUUGUAAUUUUGAGGCCAAUCUCAGUAAUUUGGCAAGGCUCUAAGCAAUUAAGGGAGACCUUGUCUCAAAAUAAAAUAUAAAAAGGACUGGGGAUGUGUCUCAGUAGUUAAGCGCCCCUGGGUUCAAUCCCUGGUACCAAACAAACCUACCCCCUGCCCAAUAACAGCAAACUGCUGCUGAACUGUACAUUAUAUAUAUAUGUGUGUGUGUGUGUGUGUGUGUAUAUAUAUAUAUAUACACACACACACACACAUAUAUAUAUGUACAUAUAUAAUUAAUAUAUAUAAAU
rnacentral:lncRNA from 1 species